UACGAAGGGGGGCUAGCGUUGCUCGGAUUGACUGGGCGUAAAGGGCGCGUAGGCGGCGGACACAGUCAGACGUGAAAUUCCUGGGCUCAACCUGGGGGCUGCGUUUGAUACAUGUCUGCUUGAGUUCGGAAGAGGGUCGUGGAAUUCCCAGUGUAGAGGUGAAAUUCGUAGAUAUUGGGAAGAACACCGGUGGCGAAGGCGGCGACCUGGUCCGAUACUGACGCUGAGGCGACCGAAAGCGUGGGGAGCAAACAGG
rnacentral:rRNA from 1 species